CCUUUGAACUGCUUCUUUGGAGUAUUUCGCCUUUUGGACUUCACCUUGGAUCUUCUUCUCCUUGGGAGUUUUUGGAAACUCUGUGUUGGUGAGCUGGACUGAAGGAGGAAACUCAUUUCCUGGAUACUGCAUCAGCUUAUUGGAUCAAGGAGUCAUAAUCCUGGGUGACAUCUCUUCUGUUCCAAGCAAAAGUCUGCCAUAAAGCACUGAGGGAAAUCAAGGAUUACAGUAUCUCACCAUGAUCAUCCUAGGAAUUGAGGAGAAUAAUGAGUGCAACCAUUUAUCUUUGGAGAUCGACUACUGACAAAAGGAGAAGGCAUCUCUGCUGAAGUCUCUUAGCAGUUUGUGAUGAUUAGACUUACGUUUACCAAGUAGAUGGAAAGUGAGCCUCAAAUUGUCACAGCCAAAUGAGUCUGGAGAAUCUCAGUUAAACAGGCAUUCAGUUACCAGUCCAUUCAGCACAGAGGAGAAAGAGCACUAGAUUUGAAACCAGAAGAUCUAAAAUCUAGUCUCCACUCUGAGAAUUCCUACCUAUGUGACACUAGAUAGAUCAUUUGGAUCCCUUGACUUUCCACUGCAAAAGAAAAGAGGAAGUUGCGUAUUUCCAAGAGGAAACCAAAUUUCAACUCCAAAGGGGCCAAACUUUCUGCUCCAGAUUGACGAUCUUCAAAAGACCCAAAUAGAUUGGAAAUUUGGCAAAAUAUGAUGUUCCUGUCUCAGAAAAAAAUAAGGUAUUCCUUUCCCAGAAUACAUCUUCACUC
rnacentral:lncRNA from 1 species